CGCCUGGGGAGUACGGCCGCAAGGUUAAAACUCAAAUGAAUUGACGGGGGCCCGCACAAGCGGUGGAGCAUGUGGUUUAAUUCGAUGCAACGCGAAGAACCUUACCUGGUCUUGACAUCCACAGAAGAAUCCAGAGAUGGAUUUGUGCCUUCGGGAACCGUGAGACAGGUGCUGCAUGGCUGUCGUCAGCUCGUGUUGUGAAAUGUUGGGUUAAGUCCCGCAACGAGCGCAACCCUUAUCCUUUGUUGCCAGCGGUCCGGCCGGGAACUCAAAGGAGACUGCCAGUGAUAAACUGGAGGAAGGUGGGGAUGACGUCAAGUCAUCAUGGCCCUUACGACCAGGGCUACACACGUGCUACAAUGGCGCAUACAAAGAGAAGCGACCUCGCGAGAGCAAGCGGACCUCAUAAAGUGCGUCGUAGUCCGGAUUGGAGUCUGCAACUCGACUCCAUGAAGUCGGAAUCGCUAGUAAUCGUGGAUCAGAAUGCCACGGUGAAUACGUUCCCGGGCCUUGUACACACCGCCCGUCACACCAUGGGAGUGGGUUGCAAAAGAAGUAGGUAGCUUAACCUUCGGGAGGGCGCUUACCACUUUGUGAUUCAUGACUGGGGUGAAGUCGUAACAAGGUAACCGUAGGGGAACCUGCGGUUGGAUCACCUCCUUACCUGAAAGAAGC
rnacentral:rRNA from 1 species